UACGAACCGUCCUAACGUUAUUCGGAAUCACUGGGCUUAAAGGGUGCGUAGGCGGCUCGGAAAGUUGGGUGUGAAAUCCCUCGGCUCAACCGAGGAAUUGCGCCCAAAACUACCGAGCUCGAGGGAGACAGAGGUGAGCGGAACUUAGGGUGGAGCGGUGAAAUGCGUUGAUAUCCUAAGGAACACCGGUGGCGAAAGCGGCUCACUGGGUCUUUACUGACGCUGAGGCACGAAAGCCAGGGGAGCGAAC
rnacentral:rRNA from 1 species